rnacentral:rRNA from 1 species
CAGAGGAAAAGAAACCAACUGGGAUUACCUUAGUAACGGCGAGUGAAGCGGUAAAAGCUCAAAUUUGAAAUCUGGUACUUUCAGUGCCCGAGUUGUAAUUUGUAGAAUUUGUCUUUGAUUAGGUCCUUGUCUAUGUUCCUUGGAACAGGACGUCAUAGAGGGUGAGAAUCCCGUUUGGCGAGGAUACCUUUUCUCUGUAAGACUUUUUCGAAGAGUCGAGUUGUUUGGGAAUGCAGCUCAAAGUGGGUGGUAAAUUCCAUCUAAAGCUAAAUAUUGGCGAGAGACCGAUAGCGAACAAGUACAGUGAUGGAAAGAUGAAAAGAACUUUGAAAAGAGAGUGAAAAAGUACGUGAAAUUGUUGAAAGGGAAGGGCAUUUGAUCAGACAUGGUGUUUUUUGCAUGCACUCGCCUCUCGUGGGCUUGGGCCUCUCAAAAAUUUCACUGGGCCAACAUCAAUUCUGGCAGCAGGAUAAAUCAUUAAGAAUGUAGCUACUUCGGUAGUGUUAUAGCUUUUUGGAAUACUGUUAGCCGGGAUUGAGGACUGCGCUUCGGCAAGGAUGUUGGCAUAAUGGUUAAAUGCCGCCCGUCUU